rnacentral:tRNA from 1 species
GCCCGCAUGGCUCAGUGGUAGAGCGUGACACUAGUAUGCAAUGUCAAGGUCGUCAGUUCGAUUCUGGCUGUGGGCA